rnacentral:tRNA from 1 species
GGAGAGGUGGCAGAGUGGCCGAAUGCGCCGGUCUCGAAAACCGGUAUACCCGAAAGGGUAUCGAGAGUUCGAAUCUCUCCCUCUCCG